CGUGUAGGCGGCGGGACAAGUCAGAUGUGAAAGCCCCCGGCUUAACCGGGGAACUGCAUUUGAAACUGUUUUGCUUGAGUGCGAGAGGGGGUAGUGGAAUUCCCAGUGUAGCGGUGAAAUGCGUAGAUAUUGGGAAGAACACCAGUAGCGAAGGCGGCUACCUGGCUCGCAACUGACGCUAAGGCGCGAAAGCGUGGGGAGCAAACA
rnacentral:rRNA from 1 species